GGGGACGACAGGUUUCGACGGGAAUACAAGAACCAUGAGUCACGUGUCGAGCUGUGGUACUCGUUAAAAGCCACACCUUCUAGUUGGCAACAACUACGCUUUAGCUGCUUAAUUAAACAGUAGCCGAUCAUGAUGCGAGGCCUACAGCGCUGAAUUGAUUGUCAUACCUAGUAGGCUGGCAAACCGCUCUGGACCAGGGGGGCGGGGCGUGAGAUUUACUUGGUAGGGGUGAAGAAGUUUUGGCCUCGGUUAACCUUGUUCAUCCGACACUUUAAACUGAGGAAACGCACGUAAACGCUGAUGGGGAAGGUUCUCGGACCCGGGUUCAAGUCCCGGCGUCUCCACUC
rnacentral:tmRNA from 1 species